UGCAAACAAGAAGCCUCAGAAGGAUGCCAAGUGUUUUCAUUGUAAUGAAAUUGGGCACUGGAAGAGGAACUGUGCUAAGUAUUUAGCUGAACUGAAGCAAGCCAAGGCUUCAGGAGGAGAGUCCUCAGGGACUAAGAAAGAUUAAGAAGCUGAAACAAGGAGACUUGGAGGUCCAUGUUGGCAAUGGACAAAGAGUUGCUGUGAAGGCGAUUGGAGAAUAUGUUCUUUUACUUCCUUCUGGUUUAGAACCUGUUUUGAACAAUGUUUAUUUUAUUCCUAGUGUUACUAGAAAUAUUGUUUCGGUUUCUGCUUUGCAUGGACAAGGUUUCAAUUAUCAUUUUAAUGGUGAA